rnacentral:rRNA from 1 species
GAUGAACGCUAGCGAUAGGCCUAACACAUGCAAGUCGAGGGGCAUCACAUGAAGUAGCAAUACGGAUGGUGGCGACCGGCGCACGGGUGAGUAACACGUAUGCAACCUGCCUUCAACAAGGGGAUAACCCGUUGAAAGACGGACUAAUACCCCUAUAACACAGGGGUCCCGCAUGGGGAAUAUUUGUUAAAGGACAACCGGUUGAAGAUGGGCAUGCGUUCCAUUAGCUAGUUGGCGGGGUAACGGCCCACCAAGGCAACGAUGGAUAGGGGAACUGAGAGGUUUAUCCCCCACACUGGUACUGAGACACGGACCAGACUCCUACGGGAGGCAGCAGUGAGGAAUAUUGGUCAAUGGACGCAAGUCUGAACCAGCCACGUCGCGUGAAGG